AUAUAUCGUAUUUUUCACAAAAAGUAUUGGCAUUCUAAUGUGGAAUAUAAAAACGUAAUAAUAAGUAAAGGGUUCCAUUUAAAAUUACGAAGUUAACAUCUACUUCGACGUGUUUCCUGAAGACUCGUCUCCAGAUAAAUUUAUUUCAUAUGAUGGAUAGUUGUCACAGUAUUAAAGUCGCAAUAGGCAAGCUACUGAGAACAACAUAUAAGAUGGAAAAAUCAUUCUCGAUAUUCUCUGAACAAUUUUUGGAGCUACGCAAUUUGUCCAGGAUGGUGUAUUAUCAACGGACGGCAAUUACUGCUCACGGAUACUUCGAGAUUAAUAGAUUAACUAUUUUUUAUUUUUUAUAUAAUACGUCAACAUAUUUUGUUGUGCUUGUACAAUAUUAUCGUAAAUAAGAUUGGGUUAUUAUA